GCCUUCUUAGCUCAGCGGUAGAGCGCGUCACUAGUAAUGACGAGGUCAUUGGUACGUAGCAAUUACAGCCGGACUCGACCCAACAGUCGCUAAUAUCCCCAUUGGUUCGAUUCCAGUAGGAGGCA